CAGAGAGAGAUCGCAGAAAGAGGAGGAUGACAAAAAUUGAGGAGGAGCCCAUGUCUACAGAGACUGAGUAAGUUCUGAACCAAAGCUUAUUUUCUCUAAUUUUUGGCUAUGCGACAGCAAAUUUCGGAAGCAGAAGAAUCAAGGAACCUUGCGUUUAGAGUUUAAUCCUAAUUUUUUUUCUCUUUGCAGGACAAAAAACUACCAGGGAAGGAAGAGAUUACCAAGAAUGUAAAACCCAGACAGGAGAAGACAAGCAAUGGCGAAGGUACCAAGGCUGUAGAUCUUUGAUAAAAGCACUGACAAUAUCAUCGCUCUUUCCAAACCUUUAUUUUUUGAUUAGGGAUUUGCAUAUUGCUAAAAGAGAGGAAGACAUUGGCUAUUGUGUUGGAUAUUUAGCUGAGUUGAUGAUUGUCGCUACUUACCUUUUGUAUUCUUCACCGUUUUGUUCCUUAACAAGUGUCUUUCUUUGAAGGGGCUUUAUAGAUGCUUGGCAGAGUCCUGGCAUCAAUUUUUUGGGGAAUGGUGGCUGAUAUUGACUCAGAUGAAGCCCCUAUUUAUAUAUCCUGAUCAUUUUUAUGUUCUAUCUUUUCUGACUUGGAUGAUAUUGAUCAAAUGAAUGAGUUAGAAA